UGCCAUUUCCAACAGCCUGGAUGAACCUGC
rnacentral:piRNA from 1 species